AAUAAUCAAGUGAGUUCCUUGAUAAGCUCGUGUCCAUCUUGUUUAGACAAUAGAAACGCGUGCACUCUUGUUUUGAUUAGGAACCAAGGAGAAGACCGAAAGGGAGAAGGACUCACGCUCGCUGGAUUCGGACAGCAGCAAAGCGCCAACUUGUGACCGUUACCAUGGUUGCAUACGGAUUCGGAUUCAGGCGCUUCAGAACUUGUUGAAAAGCUUAUCAAGUCUACUUUCAUAUGAAUCAAGUCCCACGUCAAUACCUGUUCGGCAGUAGCGGCAAUGAUCCAAUUACCGUCGAUAGGUCUUGCUGUCCAGGGUGCUGCGUCACCUCAUUUUGGGCUGAUGGCCCAUGUAUCAAGUUGGGUCCAUUAGGAACGCGUCCUAGGGUUGGAGGACGACCCCAACACCUCUUUGGUCAUCAAUCCAUCUACUUAUAUCCCUCUAGAGCGGCCAUGGUCGUUGGGUUUUAUUUAGAUCAAGUUUAGCCUUCGCUACUUGCUUGUAGGCGCGCGUGCAGGAUCAGUCGCCCGUCUCCUUGUCUUCAGAACCCCAUUGUUGAUUCAGAUUCAGUUUGAAACCUUCAAUUCAUCUUGCAAAUUCAGUGCUUGUUUCCUCGUUCUUGCUAGUUCUUCGAUUGCUUGCAGGACGGGAGCCCUAGGGGAUGGUUGUCGCGCUCCACAAGAUCGUGACGGCUGUUGGACGUGGUGUAUCGGUUGCUAAGGCGCGGUCUUGAGGGCUGUAGUCGGGCCGUGAACGUUUGUGCCUUGGCUAGUACCGUUUUGGUUAGGGCUUGUUGAAUUUGCGUUGCUUCGGUUUGUGUCGAGUUGCUAGUCUUAGUGUCUAGUCCUUUAGAGUUUCGAGUUCUUGUCACCAUCUAUACACAGCCGAGUAUUACCAUAUCUUCUCUCUGUCGAAUCUGUUGCGAAGUCCGAAUUGAACUGUGGUCUUGGUCCGGAUCGAGUAGAGUUCCAAUCUGAGUUCCACCAACGUGAUAAAAAAAAAGAAGGAUAACUCCAUACUUGUUCGGCCCUACUCUAGAGAGAGAGAGAGAGAAUUGCUCUUUUGUAUUCUUUUGUUCAUAUAAUCAGUUUUUGAGGUUGCCCAAAAAAAAGAAAAAAAAAGAAAAAAAAGAGAAAAGAUUCAAAAAAAGGGGCUGUUUUUUAUAUUGAUUUUAGGUUUCUUCCACCUUGUUUUCGGGGGUGGGCUGUGGUUUUCCUUUGUGUCCAGGCUCGCGUCUCUAGCACGGUCUAGCCUAGGACCAGCACAGUACCAUCGUCGAACGCUUAUUCAGCUCGCUUUUUAUAACUAACGUGGUGCUAGUUCGUUCCUUGUUUCAGCCCACCUAUAGCUCCACAUACUCUACAGCUUGACAGGUCUUGUGCUGCAGCACCGAUACACUUCGUCCAUUGCUGUACACUUGUUGACAGACGACCCCUCCUGUCAAGCAAGGUAAGAAUUGGUAAGAACUUGUGUU
rnacentral:lncRNA from 1 species